UACGUAGGGUGCGAGCGUUAAUCGGAAUUACUGGGCGUAAAGCGUGCGAAGGCGGUUUUGUAAGCCAGGUGUGAAAUCCCCGGGCUUAACCUGGGAAUGGCAUUUGGGACUGCAAGGCUCGAGUGCGGCAGAGGAGACUGGAAUUCCUGGUGUAGCAGUGAAAUGCGUAGAUAUCAGGAGGAACACCGAUGGCGAAGGCAGGUCUCUGGGCUGACACUGACGCUCAUGCACGAAAGCGUGGGGAGCAAACAGG
rnacentral:rRNA from 1 species